AAGAGGACCUCCUGACACUUAAUAACUGCUUGAUAUAAAUAAUAGCUUCUGCUACAGAGUGGCCAUGAAGUCUGGACAUGUAGAUAUUAUAUUAUCAUGCAUCAUAAGGUAGUUGAUCUGGUGUGAGAUUCCAACCUCGUGUGAGAGAGGAGAAGACCUUCAUUACACUAAUUCAUGCUGGCCCAGCCUCCAGGCCACCCCAGAUGUGAGGUGCUGUUAACACUGCUCUCAGUAGGGACGGGGUUUCGCCAUGUUGGCCAGCCUGGUCUCGAACUCCUGACCUCAGGUGAUCCAUCCGCUUCGGCCUCCCAAAGUGGUGGGAUCACAGGUGCAAGCCACCGUGCCCAGGCUGCUAUCUUAUUUUCAAGAAUUUGACUCACGUCUUUCUGAAGAACAUCUAUCACUUA
rnacentral:lncRNA from 10 species